GACGAACGCUGGCGGCGUGCUUAACACAUGCAAGUCGAACGGAAAGGCCCUGCUUGCAGGGUACUCGAGUGGCGAACGGGUGAGUAACACGUGGGUGAUCUGCCCUGCACUUCGGGAUAAGCCUGGGAAACUGGGUCUAAUACCGGAUAGGAGCCAUUUUUAGUGUGAUGGUUGGAAAGUUUUUUCGGUGUAGGAUGAGCUCGCGGCCUAUCAGCUUGUUGGUGGGGUAAUGGCCUACCAAGGCGGCGACGGGUAGCCGGCCUGAGAGGGUGGACGGCCACAUUGGGACUGAGAUACGGCCCAGACUCCUACGGGAGGCAGCAGUGGGGAAUAUUGCACAAUGGGCGCAAGCCUGAUGCAGCGACGCCGCGUGGGGGAUGACGGCCUUCGGGUUGUAAACUCCUUUCGCUAGGGACGAAGCUUUUUGUGACGGUACCUAGAUAAGGAGCACCGGCUAACUACGUG
rnacentral:rRNA from 1 species